CUACGGGUUGCUGCAGUGGGGAAUAUUGCACAAUGGAGGAAACUCUGAUGCAGCAACGCCGCGUGGAGGAUGACACUUUUCGGAGCGUAAACUCCUUUUAUAUAGGAAGAAGAUGACGGUACUAUAUGAAUAAGCGCCGGCUAACUCCGUGCCAGCAGCCGCGGUAAUAGGGAGGGCGCAAGCGUUACUCGGAAUCACUGGGCGUAAAGAGCGUGUAGGCGGAUUAAAAAGUCAGAAGUGAAAUCCUAUAGCUUAACUAUAGAACUGCUUCUGAAACUCUUAAUCUAGAAUAUGGGAGAGGUAGAUGGAACUUCUGGUGUAGGGGUAAAAUCCGUAGAGAUCAGAAGGAAUACCGAUUGCGAAGGCGAUCUACUAGAACAUUAUUGACGCUGAGACGCGAAAGCGUGGGGAGCAAACAGGAUUAGAUACCCGGUAGUC
rnacentral:rRNA from 1 species